GUGUGUAGAUUGAUGAGAAAAAAUAUAUAUUUUAGAAUAAGGCUGUAACAUAACAUUUUGAAAAAGCCAAGGGGUCUGAAUACUUUCCGAAUGCAGUGUUUCAAUAGCACACAUUCUGUAUACAACAAACCUGCCUGUCUAAUUAAGCACUUGACACCACAUCAUCUCAAAAUACAUCUCAUGCUCUUUUUGUAGUGAAACAGGCGCCCAAAGUACACCUUGCCAAAAUGUGCUGGAAGAUAGCGAAAACGGUUUUCCAGUAGUGGUAGAGAUCCUCAUGCCAGCCCUUGCACACAUAUUAUAGCUUAAUGCUGCCAGGGAAGCUAGCUCCUCGUCCUCGCUGACUGGAGUGCUUCAACAUUGCAAGCAUCCAGGAAUGUGUACUGAGGUUUAAUGAAGGUCUACCCAAGAUCCCUGGCAGUGGAAAGUCUGUUCAGCCAACAGGUCAAGGCUCCAUACCCCUCUGCCAUUGACUUUAAGCAGUCACGCAUGGUGACGUUUAAAUGACAGAUCUACCCACAAGGCCUAGCAGUGGAAAGUUUCUGGGUGGUAGAGACACCCUACCCUCAUCCACUGAAUUUGAACAGAGGCUGGAGUUGAUGCGUGAAAAGUUACAACAGAAAAUUGAGGAAGAGCGGAAGUGGUAUACAUUAUUAGAACUCCCACACACCCACUCCACGUUCUUCUUCUGGAAGGUAUCUUCAUCAACCACAUGUUCACCAACCUCAACUGUGGGCCUGACCCAACUGAUCUUAUCACUGUAUACGAUCUUGUUGCAGACUGCACAUGGAGGAGAGGCUCAACUGACAGAUCCUUUUAAUGUCCUCUUUGGGAUCACAGAGGACACAAUCCUUCAGGUUCUGGGAGAUCAAUCCUGCUCUUUUUGCUCACUUGGAUUGACCAGAUCUAGGGUAAGAGAUGUCGUGAUUCAGGUUAACUCUGACAUCUCACUGAUCAUCUCCUGUUCCAGCUCAGGUAAAUCAAGCCCAGUGUUGUGUGAACUAGCAGGCGAAAUGGCAUCCAGGCCGUCCUGGUGUCUGUUAUCUCUGCCAAGCUGCGGUAGUUUGGAGUCACUGAAAAGGCUGUGCCUCAAGCCAAGCCCAAUCCAUCUAUGGAGAAUAUAGACAUUAAGGCCUCCCUUGCACCAUUGACAGGAGCGGUCAAGGCUGUCAUUGUCAACUCCGGAGAAUGCCAGGAAAGAAGAGCAAGGAACAAUGGAUGCACUUUGAGAAAUCGCACACAAAGUAAAACAUUUUGCUUCAAAGGAUUGUGUUGGUGGUCUUCUGGAAGAUUCCCUAGUGGAGAAAAAAAAAAUCUGAAAAGACUGUAUCCUAUGGCAGCUUGGUGAGUCAAAACAUGCUCAUACUUUCACCUCCAGGAAAAAUGCUUGACUCUCCUGUAAUGUCAACCACUGAGAAAAUAUCCAGUGUUGAGCUGAAGUCAGAAGUCACUGAAGCUAUUAGAAAGGCUCAUUAGGUCUAGCAGAAGUCUAUCUGCACAAAUGUCUGCUGGCUGACCUGAGCCUUCAAGUAAUCUGGCCAGUCAAACAAAUCUGCCAGCUAUGCCAGAAGAACAUUUAUCUACAACCGUUAGGCUCCGAGGCCUCUGAAAUAAUGGAUUCCUUUGUGUGAUAUGAAGUGUGUCGCACAAUCAGAUUUGACAAAAGUGAAAGAUCUAUCUGUGGUUAAUAGACUUACUAAAAGGUUGCAGAACAUGCUGAGGGGAUUCUGCUCUCGACUUUUGGCCCUUAAAAGUUCAGAUCGAGACAAAGAGGAGAAUCUAGAGCAAACUAAAAACAUGUCACUCCUACUUUCAUCCAAAAGUAUAUUAGAUCUUCCAGGGGUCAUGUCAUCAGAAGAAGUGGCUCUUCGUGGAGGUCAGGGCAUAUGCUCCAGACCUAUGAUGGCUCUUAGCCCUCAGAUCACUCAGCUUCACUUCGACUGUACCACCAAGGAAGUUAUGAGCACCAUUGUGACAUUUUACAAGACAGAGGUUCCUGAGGAGGAAUUGACAUGUUCAGCUGAAGAGACGUCCUCGGAUACGUCUCUUUUGGCUACCUCGUUUGUGGACAAUGCCAUGGCUUGGUUAGAGGACAUCUCUGCCGCAAGUUCCAAAACUUCUUCAUCAGAAAGUUUGUGCGUUGCUCCCAAAGCAGUAAUUUGCGAAAGCUCAGUUGAAACGUUUCAGGCACAGGCAGCUAAACGACGAUCAGAGUCCCGCACUUGUCAGGUCAGUCAACCAGAUUUUGAUAUUCGACAGGAUUUCUCUCCAACUUCUUCUAUGAGCAUGGAUUUACAGCCAACUGAUUUUGUCCUUCUACAGGGUACCUCAAGUUCUUCUGCGACUUCAACAAAGAUCUGGCAAAGUGGUGUUGCCAUUUCUGAAUAAGAAAAUGUGGACUACAGCACAGACGAUUUGAGAGUUUUUCACUCAGUAUCAUCAACCAGAUGUGAACACCACAGAAAAGCAUCAGGCAAAUCUUGUUUGCCAUCCAAGGGGACAUGAUCAGUUCAGAGGAAAUUAUGACCUCAGGGGAGCUGGGGCAACUCCAUGACAUUGUGGGAACAAUACUGGAGAGUGUGGAGACAGUUUGCAGUAAGGGGGGAUAAAGAGCGUGGCGAGAGACUCAAAGGCCUUCAUCUUCUUUAUCUACUGUGGGAAAAGUCUCAAGGUCUCGAGAUUUGGCAAUACUCCCAGGAACUCCAAUGUCAACUGAGUUGCUGGACAAUAGUUCCCUAUCGUUAGAAGCACAUGCAUUGAUAUGAAGAAUGAUACUGUGUCGAGGCCUCAUUGACUGGCCCAAGAAAUAAUGGGGGUGAGCCUCGUCAUUGAAAAUCUUGAUCCUGAAGUGCUGCAGCAGGUCACUUCUGGGCAUUUUUUUUUUUUAAUCUCAAAGGAGAAGAUUUGUGAUUGCUGCUUCAUUUGAUCUUCCCUCCUUCAUAAUGGGGGUGGGUCAGGAAGCCUCAUUUCACAAUGUUCCAUCAAGAGCGUCUGUCUAGUCACCGUAGCUCAAGUUCCGCUACUUCUCGAUUGACAGAACUUGAUGGUAGUAGUUAAAUGAUAUCAUUGAGUAUUGUUGUAAUUAUUUGGUGUUUAUUACUUACUUUGGGCAUCUUACUACACAAUAUGUAAACCUACACAAUAGGAAAACCUAUCAAUGGUAAUACUUUAUACUCGUCUUGUUUUCAGUAACCCUGUGAAUUGCUAUUGUCUAAAUUAUGGUGAUUUAAGAAUUAUAUUCAUUAAGACCAUUUUUAUUUUGAAACAAUUAUCCCUUCAAACUGAUCAACAAAAAGGUCCAGCCCUCAGAGGAAGCAGAGGACCAGAUUAAGUUUCCCCAUGAGGAGGAGCAUUGCAUAUGUAAAUCUUACAUCAUUAUUUCAUCACAUACUGUAUUUUCCAGUCCCACAACAUUAGCAACAUUGCAUUUUUUUGAAUAGCACAAAAUCUGUUUAAAACAUAAAAUACAUGUAUGAUUGUAGACUUUCUCUGCUGUCUCGAGCACCCCGCAUAGUGCCGAUGGCUGUCACGGCUCCACUAGAGAAGAGUCUUCCUGCAACUUCCAAACCCGAGGAGAAGAAACACAAACCCUUCAUCUUUGUCAGGAUGUUCUUGGCCAUCAACAAAUGCCUUCGCAACACCUUCAAACCUUCAUUACAACAAGUAACAACACCUAAUUAAGCAAAGACUUAAUGCAUUCAGUUGAUCUCCAUUGUAAUCUUUUCAUGUCUAAUUUAUUUAGCAAAAAGUCACUGUAAAAUUAAAUGUAACUCACUUGGUAAAUAUGUUUUGAAAACAGAGUAUGCAUACUGCUUGAGAUGGAACCCUGGAUGAUAGUCUCUAGAGCAUUAAAUGUCUGACUUUUAAAGAAGUUAGUUUUCAUUUUGUUCAGCAUUAUCAACAUUUCGUGAACAUUGUAAAGGGGGCCCUGAAAACUUGUGACUGUCACGCACUGACCUCAGAGAGACUUUUUAUGUCUCUAUUUGGUUUGGUCAGGGUGUGAUUUGGGUGGGAAUUCUAUGUGUUGUAUUUCUUUGUGUUUGGCCGAGUGUGGUUCCCAAUCAGAGGCAGCUGUCUAUCGUUGUCUCUGAUUGGGAAUCAUACUUAGGUAGCCUUUUUCCCCACCUAUGUUGUGGGAUCCUGUCCUUGUAUUAUGGCUGUUGAGGCCUACAAGGCUGUACGUGUCGUUGGUUCGCUCGCUCUUUCCUGUUUUGCUGGUUAUCAUUAAAGAAUAUGAUUAACCUACCCCUA